rnacentral:rRNA from 1 species
AUGAACGCUGGCGGCGUGCCUAAUACAUGCCAGUCGAGCGAACAGACGAGGAGCUUGCUCCUCUGACGUUAGCGGCGGACGGGUGAGUAACACGUGGAUAACCUACCUAUAAGACUGGGAUAACUUCGGGAAACCGGAGCUAAUACCGGAUAACAUGUUGAACCGCAUGGUUCAACAGUGAAAGACGGUCUUGCUGUCACUUAUAGAUGGAUCCGCGCCGCAUUAGCUAGUUGGUAAGGUAACGGCUUACCAAGGCAACGAUGCGUAGCCGACCUGAGAGGGUGAUCGGCCACACUGAACUGAGACACGGUCCAGACUCCUACGGGAGGCAGCAGUAGGGAAUCUUCCGCAAUGGGCGAAAGCCUGACGGAGCAACGCCGCGUGAGUGAAGAAGGUCUUCGGAUCGUAAAACUCUGUUAUUAGGGAAGAACAAAUGUGUAAGUAACUAUGCACGUCUUGACGGUACCUAAUCAGAAAGCCACGGCUAACUACGUG